AACGUAGGAGGCGAGCGUUAUCCGGAGUUACUGGGCGUAAAGGGCGCGUAGGCGGCCACCGCAAGUCGGUUGUGAAAUCUCUGGGCUUAACCCAGAAAGGUCAACCGAUACUGCGGGGCUAGAGUGCAGAAGGGGCAACUGGAAUUCUCGGUGUAGCGGUGAAAUGCGUAGAUAUCGAGAGGAACACCUGCGGCGAAGGCGGGUUGCUGGGCUGACACUGACGCUGAAGCGCGAAAGCUAGGGGAGCGAACGGG
rnacentral:rRNA from 1 species